CAGUCGAGCGGACAGAAGGGAGCUUGCUCCCGGAUGUUAGCGGCGGACGGGUGAGUAACACGUGGGUAACCUGCCUGUAAGACUGGGAUAACUCCGGGAAACCGGAGCUAAUACCGGAUAGUUCCUUGAACCGCAUGGUUCAAGGAUGAAAGACGGUUUCGGCUGUCACUUACAGAUGGACCCGCGGCGCAUUAGCUAGUUGGUGAGGUAACGGCUCACCAAGGCGACGAUGCGUAGCCGACCUGAGAGGGUGAUCGGCCACACUGGGACUGAGACACGGCCCAGACUCCUACGGGAGGCAGCAGUAGGGAAUCUUCCGCAAUGGACGAAAGUCUGACGGAGCAACGCCGCGUGAGUGAUGAAGGUUUUCGGAUCGUAAAGCUCUGUUGUUAGGGAAGAACAAGUGCAAGAGUAACUGCUUGCACCUUGACGGUACCUAACCAGAAAGCCACGGCUAACUACGUGCCAGCAGCCGCGGUAAUACGUAGGUGGCAAGCGUUGUCCGGAAUUAUUGGGCGUAAAGGGCUCGCAGGCGGUUUCUUAAGUCUGAUGUGAAAGCCCCCGGCUCAACCGGGGAGGGUCAUUGGAAACUGGGAAACUUGAGUGCAGAAGAGGAGAGUGGAAUUCCACGUGUAGCGGUGAAAUGCGUAGAGAUGUGGAGGAACACCAGUGGCGAAGGCGACUCUCUGGUCUGUAACUGACGCUGAGGAGCGAAAGCGUGGGGAGCGAACAGGAUUAGAUACCCUGGUAGUCCACGCCGUAAACGAUGAGUGCUAAGUGUUAGGGGGUUUCCGCCCCUUAGUGCUGCAGCUAACGCAUUAAGCACUCCGCCUGGGGAGUACGGUCGCAGGACUGAAACUCAAGGAAUUGACGGGGGCCCGCACAAGCGGUGGAGCAUGUGUUUAAUUCGAAGCAACGCGAAGACCCUUACCAGGUCUUGACAUCCUCUGACACCCUAGAGAUAGGGGCUUUCCCUU
rnacentral:rRNA from 1 species